GCUCUGUGCAGGAUCACAGCCUGGGUUUGCAGCAAGUGGCUGUCAGAUGCAGAUCCAGAAGUUCAUGACGUGGUAAAACAGCUUAGAGUAUUCUGAAAGAAAAAAGCUUCACAAUGAUAAGGGAUUAAGCACAUCUGUAUGUUUAAUUUCCACAUGGAGCAAAGACAGACAUCUUCAGAGGAUGAAGAGGUUAAAGCAUAUAAGAAUACUUCAGGAAGAAUAAAUAAGAUAUGCACAUGCUGCUUUUGCAAGAAGGAAGAUUUUUUUAAAAUAUCACUACAAAAAGUAUCUUUGCAGGAUCCUGUCGUAAAAUUUAGCCUUUUCCUAGACGGAUAAGCAUGAUCUUUGAAGAAUGCUUUCAUCUCAGAAUCCAAAUGCCAAGCUGUGACUGAACCGGACUCCUCUGACAAAGGAGGAAGGAACAGGCAAAGAUUUAUCCAGCAACGGACCCCAGGGCUGCAGCGUCCAAUCCGUUUACUAAAGGGACAUCCAAAAGGGAAGCAGAUGCCCCCAGCCCUUAAACAUUCUUUGACGUUUUUGGGUUCAGACUGGGUGAAUCCUACACAGAAAUAAAAGAGUCUUGAUUUUCAUUCACAGAGCAGGGAUUCCAGAAGUGGUUACAACCAGAGGCGCCUAAUACAGAGGUCUUUGAGAAAAAAAAAUUGAUCAGCAUAGUGGCAAGAGCUAAUCCACUAGCUAGAAAGUUGGGGGUAGUAUUACAUUUCAUAGUUCAGUCAAAUCUGAAUGGAUAGGCACAUUUAAGGCACCUUUCUAACCCAGGAUAAUUCUACAAUCAAAUGUCAAGUAUCUGCGGCAACCUAUAUCUUACCUGGAGAGCUUUGCAGCACCAGGAAGAAGACAGCAAAGAGCAGGUAAAGAAUCUUCAUGGCUGAAGUUUAACUGGGAACUCGAUAUCACUGCAGAGAAGAGAAUAGACAAGAAAUGGAGAAGCUCUAUUUACCCACUGCCGGGAAUUGUGAAAUGUUGCUUUAUUGAAAACUUGUUUUGAAGCAGGUCACAUGCAUUGAGCGUGUGCUGCAAUCUGUUAAUGAUAGUAAUUAUGAUUUGUACCGCACCCUAAAAAUUCCUGGAGAAUUUCUGGGAGACACAGUUCACAUGUCCCUGCCUUGAGGAAGUUACAGUUUAAAUAUUUACACCAUUACUGACUCAUCAAAAGCCCUUUGAGAAGAAUGGAAAGCCUCCCAUUAAAUUUAUAAUGGAGUCCUUGUGCAGAGAAGAAUUCCAAAAGACAGCUGUACCCGGGAAGCAUUGGCAGUAGGGUGUGUGCAUUUGUGUAUUUUUUUUACAAUAUUUAACAA